CAUAGCUUUGUUGAUUAUGAUUCAAGGUAUUGUCUGCCCACUGAUACGUUAAAUGGCCGCGGUAUAUUGACCGUGCAAAGGUAGCAUAAUAAUUAGUUCUUUAAUUGAGAUCUGGAAUGAAUGGCGUGACGAAGAAUUAACUGUCUCGGUUUAAUUAAUUUUGAAUUUAACUUUUGAGUGAAAAGGCUUAAUUUUUUAUUAGGGACGAGAAGACCCUAUAGAGUUUUAUAUUUAUUUUAUUUUGUUUAUUUAGAAUUAAAUUUGUAUUUUAUUUUAAUUAUUUGGUUGGGGAGAUUACUAGAAUUUUUAAACUCUAGUUUUUAAAAACAUUAAUUUAUGAUUUUUAUGAUCCUUUAUUAUGGAUUUAGAGAUUAAAUUACCUUAGGGAUAACAGCGUAAUCUUUAUAGAGAGUUCAAAUCGAUAUAAGGGUUUGCGACCUCGAUGUUGGAUUAAAAUUUAUUUUUGGUGUAGAAGCUAAAGAAUUAAGUCUGUUCGACUUUUAAAAUUUUACAUGAUCUGAGU
rnacentral:rRNA from 1 species